GGGGCUGAUUCUGGAUUCGACGGGAUUUGCGAAACCCAAGGUGCAUGCCGAGGGGCGGUUGGCCUCGUAAAAAGCCGCAAAAAAUAGUCGCAAACGACGAAAACUACGCUUUAGCAGCUUAAUAACCUGCUUAGAGCCCUCUCUCCCUAGCCUCCGCUCUUAGGACGGGGAUCAAGAGAGGUCAAACCCAAAAGAGAUCGCGUGGAAGCCCUGUCUGGGGUUGAAGCGUUAAAACUUAAUCAGGCUAGUUUGUUAGUGGCGUGUCCGUCCGCAGCUGGCAAGCGAAUGUAAAGACUGACUAAGCAUGUAGUACCGAGGAUGUAGGAAUUUCGGACGCGGGUUCAACUCCCGCCAGCUCCACCA
rnacentral:tmRNA from 1 species